AGAGUUUGAUCCUGGCUCAGGAUGAACGCUGGCGGCGUGCUUAACACAUGCAAGUCGAACGAAGCACUUCAUAAAGUUUACUUUAAGAAGUGACUUAGUGGCGGACGGGUGAGUAACGCGUGGGUAACCUGCCUUACACAGGGGGAUAACAGUUAGAAAUGACUGCUAAUACCGCAUAAAACAGCAGAGUCGCAUGACUCAACUGUCAAAGAUUUAUCGGUGUAAGAUGGACCCGCGUCUGAUUAGCUGGUUGGUGGGGUAACGGCCUACCAAGGCGACGAUCAGUAGCCGGCCUGAGAGGGUGAACGGCCACAUUGGGACUGAGACACGGCCCAAACUCCUACGGGAGGCAGCAGUGGGGAAUAUUGCACAAUGGGGGAAACCCUGAUGCAGCGACGCCGCGUGAGUGAAGAAGUAUUUCGGUAUGUAAAGCUCUAUCAGCAGGGAAGAAAAUGACGGUACCUGACUAAGAAGCCCCGGCUAACUACGUGCCAGCAGCCGCGGUAAUACGUAGGGGGCAAGCGUUAUCCGGAUUUACUGGGUGUAAAGGGAGCGUAGACGGCAUCACAAGUCAGAAGUGAAAAUCCGGGGCUCAACCCCGGAACUGCUUUUGAAACUGUGGAGCUGGAGUGCAGGAGAGGUAAGCGGAAUUCCUAGUGUAGCGGUGAAAUGCGUAGAUAUUAGGAGGAACACCAGUGGCGAAGGCGGCUUACUGGACUGUAACUGACGUUGAGGCUCGAAAGCGUGGGGAGCAAACAGGAUUAGAUACCCUGGUAGUCCACGCC
rnacentral:rRNA from 1 species